UCAGUGGAGUUUCUCUAUAAAUAAGAACAGGCGCUUCGUCGGUUAGAGACAGAGAAGUCAUUUGCGAUAUUAUUAGCUUUUCGACGAUAUAGUCGCACAAGUUACACAUUGAAAGAUGCAGAUCUUUGUCAAGACUCUGACGGGCAAGACCAUCACCCUGGAGGUGGAGCCCAGUGACACCAUCGAGAACGUCAAGGCCAAGAU